AGUAUCAUGGCGUCGUAAAUAAGAAGUAGGUGUUGUAGGAAGUGGACUUCUGAUGUGACUCCAACUCCCAGAAUCGACAUCUGGGAAUCCUCAUCUCGAGAUGUAAAAGUAUCCGGUCUGAAACAGCUAUCAUGACUAUAUAGCGUCAACAGCUGAAAUAUGAGGCCCUCCAUUGGACAACAUGUGAGGGUCCUCUAUGACUUUGAAACCUCCAAGAAGGGGGAGAUAACUCUUCUGACAGGGGACAUUAUCCAGAUCACAGAAGUUGUGGAUGACAACUGGCUGCGAGGUCGACUGAGUGGCGGAGAAGGAAUCUUUCCCUCCAAUUUUGUUGAAAGUAUCACACUGCCCAGUGUACAGCCGGGUCAGAAGAUAUUUGCUGGUGUAGACGAGUUCCGGGCUGGUCAGGAUGGAGACUUGGGAAUUAACAGAGGGGACAUCAUUGUGGGGUUGCAGCAGCUGGAUGACAACUGGUGGCAGGGAAGCUGUGGAAGUAACACAGGGAUCUUUCCUCUCACCUGUGUCGCAGAGCUGGUUGGAGGUGAUACUCUCUCUAAAGCUGACCAUCAGUCAAGUCAACGAUGUGGUUCAUUAUCAGAACCCAUCUGUGCCAGAGCAUUGGUGGACAUCACUCCCCAGAUAGAUGGGGAACUUGGGUUCGGAAUUGGGGAUGUUAUAACCAUCUCCGAGAUUAUUGACUCUGAUUGGUACAUGGGACAGUUUGGUGGUAAAGAAGGGCUGGUCUCUUCUGUUUGUGUUGAGCUUUUAGAAGAUGUUGAAAUAUCAAAGUCAAAUGCUGGUCAUGCAACGGAGAAUCAUGUUCAGGAAAACCGGAGUUCCAGUGCCUUGGGUGGUGAAAGUUCUCAAGCAAACCAACUAAAUGUCUCAUCGUUCUCAAGUGAGAACACCCGAUCGUAUGACACAGAGAUCACACCCUAUGCUCGGACAAUCUACCCUUUCCAGGGCCAGUCUCAGGAUGAACUGUCAUUCGGAGCCAAUGAAAUAGUCACUCUCAUCCAGCAUGUUGAUUCAGAGUGGAUUGAGGGUGAGUUGGAUGGCCGAAUAGCACUCUUCCCUGCUGGAUAUGUUGAAAUCAUUGUGGACUGUCCUUAUGCUGAAACAGAACAGAGCCAGGACUUUGGACAAGUUCAGCCAGACCUAUCAGCUCCAACUCAGCCAUAUUCAGCUCCUUCCGAAUCAUCAGCAGCUCCUGUAGAAGCAUCUUCAGAUGUGGCUGAGAGCAGCAGCAUAGGAAGCACAGACAGUGAUCAGCUUGGUUUGGUCCUGCAUAACUUUGAAGGAGAAGUGGAUGGGGAUUUGAAAGUCUCUGAGGGUGAUACUGUGAUAGUUGUUCAAGUUUUAGAUGGAAAUUGGAUUCAAGCUCGAGAUGAGAGUGGGCAUAUUGGUCUUGUGCCUUUAAAUCAUGUACAGGUGAUUGGAGAAGGACCCCGCCAUUUACCAUCUGAUGUUGACAAUGUGAUACAAACUAGUGAACCAGUUGUGCCCAUUCAUAAGGAAAAUGGUGUCAGUUCGAAUCGUGAUACAUCUUGUGUAAAGACACUGGAAAAUAAUAAUCAUGAGCAAGAUGUUGAAAAAUUGAAAAUAGGUAGAGCUGAUGAAGAAUUUUCAGCACCACAGCCUGUAACUGAAAAACCCAGGUUAAAACCUAAACCUGCAGUUAAGCCAAAGUUGGCACCUAAACCUGUGAUAAAACCCAAGCCACUUGUGUUAACACCUAAACCUUUCACAAAACCCUCAGGAAUGUCCUCCAGUUUAAGUGUAGGGCAUGUCUCAUCUCCUACAGAGAAGAGUGUGUUCAAAGGAAUCAAUACAUCCAAGUCUCUCAACUCUCUGAUAGAAGAACAGUUGAGGAGUGCUAAAACAGAACCAGGGGAAAUAAACAGGUCUAGAAGCUCCAGCAUCAAAAGCAGUGGAUCCAACUCUUCAACUGGGAGCUUCAAGAAACAGGACUCCCUGAAUUCAUUUCCCCAAGAGUCCAAAGCCCAAAGGUCCCGACCUAAUAGCAUGGUCUCUGAUAGGUCUUCAAGGCCUGGAAGUGAAGCUUUUGAAGAUAUAGCCAGUCUUGAUCAACAUGAAGGCAAUACCAGUGUUAUCAGUCAGUACAGCGAUGUGUCUCAGCAACCUAAUGAUCAAAGUGUUCAGGUUAGUGCCAAUUCUUAUCAGUUCAGUACGGACUUACCUCCUGCACAAUCACCCAAGCCCAAAGAUGCCAAUGGGUUCAUAAACAGUGCGUUUGUGAAGGAUCAUGAUGAUCCACAUACACUUCAUAUGAGCCUCCCAGCUCGUCCUCCACCUCCUGUGCCUUCUGUCAAAGGAUCCAAAUCGAAGACCAGACUACCUCCACUCCGAGCUCCACCACCAAGACCCUCGGCACCCCGACCUGCUCAACCAGUCAAGGCACCUCCUAUGUCUGCAGGAUCAUCAAAACCACACCCGAUCCCUCUUAGACCUGCUCCUCCAGUGCCCAAAGGCCCACCAAAGAUGCCAACUAGACCCACUCCUGUAAGGCCAUCAAUGCCCAAUGCACCCCGGAGGCCUCCACCUCGACCUCCACCGUCUGACCUCAUGUCCUUCAGUCCUGAAAAGGAUACAUCACAGGAUGUAGAUGAUGAGGUGAAUGCGGAGGUGGUUGCCGAGCUGAAGGGAAGGAUAGCAGAGAUACAGAAGGAUAUACAGAGCUAUGAGAAGUCGUGCGGGGAGCUGACGUUGAUGCUGCAGCAGGUGGGGGAGGAGGGGAGAGAGGAGAUCCUAGAGACUCUAGAUGACCAGCGAGCAAAUGUGCAGGGCCUCACAGAGGAACUCACCAAUCUCAGACAGAACCUUCACCAGCUCUGCCCAGCUGAGCUACGUCAGUACCAGGCAGAACAAGAAGCACAGCGCCGGCGAGAGGAAGCCAAGAGGAAGAUGGAGGAAGACAAGAAGAAGCAGGAGGAGCAGAAACAGAAGCGGAGGGAGAAGAGAGAGAAUGUAAUCGCGGAAUUGUUGGCUACGGAGAAGGACUACCUGCGCGACCUCCAUCUGUGCAUCGACACCUUCCUGGGUCCAGCUGCUGAGAAGCAGGUUCCUGGUGUGGACAUGGAGGUGGUGUUCGGCAACAUCGAGGAGAUAGCGGACGUCUCGCAGAGUUUCCUCACCAUGCUGGAAGGCUGCAUCAACGGGAAGACAUUUGAGGAGCAGAUAAUAGGCCCCAACUUUGUGCAUUUCUCUGAGGACAUGAAGAACACGUACGCCCCGUACUGCCGGAACCAUGAUACAGUCAUCACACUCAUGGAGAAGUACACAGAUAACGUAGAGGUGAAGGAGUAUUUUGGGCGUAUGAUCACCAAGCUGAGAGAACAGACCAAUGUCUUUGACCUUGAGUCCUUGCUCAUCAAACCCAUACAGAGAAUACUCAAAUACCCGCUACUGCUGAACGAACUCUUCAAGUCAACAGAGGAUGAUCACAAAGACAAACAGGAGAUUGUUAAAGCCAUCCAUGCCAUGACUGACGUGGCUACUGCUAUCAAUGAGUACAAGCGGAGGAAAGACUUAGUGUUCAAAUACAAGAAGGAUAGUGACCAGCGGUUCAGUGAGAAGAUCGCCAAGUUCAACUUCCACUCCAUCAGGAAGAAGUCCAGCAGGAUGCGGGGCCGACUGUCCACAAACCUGGGACUAGGGCUGCAGACCCGAGACGAGAACUUUGAGCGGGAGGAAGUGCGGUUCCGACACAUAGAGAAGGCUGUGAGAGUCUUCCAGAAGAAUGUCUCCAUGUACAUGGACCACAUGCAGGAGUGUGUCGGGGCAGAGGAGAGUCUGGUAGCGGACAUUGUUGACCUGUAUGAUGGACAACCCUCAGAGGAGGUCAAGAUGUACAAGGAAGUCCAGUGCAAGAUUGUUGGACCACUGCUGCACACAUUUAGAUGCACUGUGGAGGAACAAGUCCUCGUCCCACUGAGUCAACUCAUACAGAUGUUUGAUGGACCCAGCAAUGUUAUAGAGAAGAGGUUUGACAAGAUGUUGGACUACGACAGUCAGUUCAGGAAGGCGAAGGACAACGAGAAGAAUGAUGCCCUGCAGACAGCCAAGAAUGACUACGAGGCUAUGAACGCUCAGCUCCUGGACGAGCUGCCCAAACUGUUUGGUCUGGCGUUCCAGAUGCUCACAGACUGUAUGGGGGCUUUCACCAAGGCUCAGAAGACCUUUACAGAUCAGACUCUCAAAGCAACAUACACACUUGUGCAGUUGCCCCUGCUGUUGAGUUCUGAUGCUGGUGUGAUAGAGACAUUCAACAUGAACCACACCACAGCUCUAGACAAGGUCUCCGCUCUCAUGUUCAUCCCUCGGGGGUUCAAUCCCAAAAUGGAAUCACUGAAGCUGGACAAGAAACAGAAGAGGAUGUCAGUUGACCAGGGCAGUGCUGGCCGGACAGUGCCUGCAGCCGGAUCCAGCAGCCCCCAGAGUGACAGCCAGCGUGUGUAUCUCCGUCAAAUCUACCCUGAAGCCAAGCUCCAUCGUGUCGGCUACACAUAUGCUGCCCUCGACCUCAUGGACUUGUCCUUGAAUGAAGGGGUCAUGGUGGGGGUCAUCAAGGUCCAGGACCCCAUGGGCAACAAGGACAAGUGGUUUGUUGAUGAUGGAGUGCAAAAAGGUUUUGUACCAAAGAAGAUCCUGUCUCCCUGGGCAGGUGAAGUAGCAGCGGGAGGAGUGGGUGGUGCAGGUUCCUCCCCCUCAGGUAGUCUCAACAGUCUGAUGAUGGAGGAGGGCCUGGAGGGCCUCGGUAACGACACCAUGUCUGACAUCAUCUCUCUGUCGUCCACUGCUAGUCAGGCAUCAGUCUACCCCAGUCUUACCCCAGAACCAGUCCCCGAGGCAUCACCUGAGCAGUAUUACUAUGCAGAGUUUGCCUUCCAGUCCCGUGGUGCAAGUGAAGUGUCCAUGUUUGAGGGUCAAGUGGUCACUGUGAUAGCCAAAGCUGACAAAGAGGGUAACACCGAGUGGUGGUUGGUUGAUGCAGAUGGUAAGCGUGGUUAUGCACCAGCCAACUACCUGAGGCCGAUGUCAUAGCGCAUGGCGUCAUACACAGAGAGAGCCAUGCAAUACAAAGAGACGAGCAGCUAUUGUCAAUGUGAGACACAAUGCUUCAUCAGAAGAAGAGAUCAACUUGCACCUCUAUGAUGUUCAAGCCUGGUAUGGAUCAGGUCUUUGAAAUUGACAAGUGAUGGUCAAGUGAGCGAUGGUCUCAGGUCAAGUACUGGUCAGACAAGCAGAGAGUUGAGGUGACCUUGAGGUGUCCUUGAGGUGCUGCAUCUGUGUCAGGGUAGAAGGUCACCUGAGUUCCUGUGGAUUGGUUAAGAUUCAGGUCACACGUCUGUGGACAAGGACAAGAAGACCAGCAGUGUGAUGUGUGGCUGGGACAGGGGAACAGUGUUACUGAAUGGGUCAUUGAUGGCCUGGCCAAGAUUCACUGUCACAUGUCUGUCAUGAUGGACAAGAGCUCCAGCAGUGUGAUGUGGGCUGGGACAGGGGAACAGUGUUACUGAAUGGGUCACUGAUGGCAAGGUUCUUUUGAGAAAACAGUCAAGUGUACACUGCAAUGCACCCAGUGCCACAACACCUCUUCUCCGUACCUAGGCUCACCUGCUAAUCAAGUGAUCUGUGAAGGUUUAAAUUGUAUCUUUCAGAACAGUAUGUGCUGACAGAAAGGUUUCAACUGUUGUUCCGCAGAGGGAAUUAUCAACCAUGUUUACCAGUAAAAAUACUUCUUUCAACAUGUUCAAUUGAGAAUUGUAGUAAAGUUUGAAAUUCAUGCAAGUUCACAAGCCCAAGGCUGCUAAAUUGUACUGAGGACAAGUAAGAAUCCAAUGAUGGUAGUCUUCAAGGCUGAGAGCAUUUGAGGGCUUUAAUUUUGAUAUAAAUUUUGUAUAAAUGACAUUUAUUUUCAAAUUUCCUCCAUAGAAUCUAUUAAGACAAGUGAUUGGCAAAUAUAUUGCUCACUGUUGAUGAACAUUGUUAAUUUGGUUACUGCAUGCACAUCACACUUGAUCGCAAGCAGCUUGGUGGUUAGGUAUUUAGUUGGCAUUUGAUGUGAGACUCUAGAUGUGGUUAUAGCCGACAAAGUGUCAGGUGGUCACUGAGGGUAGAUUUUGACGACUAACCGGCUUUGCUGUGGAAUGUUUGUAAAACAGCAUUGUUAUGCAUGCAUGUCUAGAAACACCUGGAGGAUCAUUAAUAGGAAUGUGUCACUUGAACAAAUGCCUAUGGAUAGGCACUUACAAAUGGCACAUUGCUAUUUAUGAUGGAUGAUGUUCUUGGAUACUCAGUUAACAUAGGACUUUCUGAUUAUCAGUCUUUCUACACUGAUGUCACCUGGUAUAUCACCUGAAUAGGAGAACUCACUACAUGCCUGUUGGAAUGUAUGAAGGUCCUGAUGGAGAGUAUUGGGGAUCCUGUUGGAAGGUCUUGAUCGGGUCCUGAUGGAGAGUAUGGGGGAUGCUGAUGGAAGGUCCUGAUGGAGAGUAUGGGGGAUCCUGUUGGAAGGUCUUGAUGGGGUCCUGAUGGAGAGUAUGGGGGAUCCUGUUGGAGGUCCUGAUGGAGAGUAUGGGGGAUCCUUUUGGAAGGUCUUGAUGGUCCCUGAUGGAGAGUAUGGGGGAUCCUGAUGGAAGGUCCUGAUGGAGAGUAUGGGG